GCGGCUCUAGCUCAACUGGCAGAGCGCUGUCCUUCCCCGCCCUGAACGGCGGGGCUUGUCGCGCAUCGGGUCAGAUGUUGCGGGUUCAAGUCCCGCGAGCCGUU
rnacentral:tRNA from 1 species